GACGAACGCUGGCGGCGUGCUUAACACAUGCAAGUCGAACGGGAGUAUCGAAGAAGCUUGUUUUAGAGAUACUUUAGUGGCGGACGGGUGAGUAACGCGUGAGGAGCUGUCCAAUGCAGGGGGACAACAGUUGGAAACGACUGCUAAUACCCCAUAAGCCGAGAGGUAAAAGGAUUUAUCCGGCAGAGGAGGUACUCGCGUCCUAUCAGCUGGUAGGUGAGGUAACGGCUCACCUAGGCGAAGACGGGUAGCCGGCCUGAGAGGGCGAACGGCCACACUGGAACUGAGAUACGGUCCAGACUCCUACGGGAGGCAGCAGUGGGGAAUAUUGGGCAAUGGGGGGAACCCUGACCCAGCGACGCCGCGUGGGUGAAGAAAUCCCUCGGGAUGUAAAGCCCUGUUGUAUGGGAAGAGCAGAAGACGGUACCAUACGAGGAAGCCCCGGCAAACUACGUGCCAGCCGCCGCGGUAA
rnacentral:rRNA from 1 species